UGGAGCCUGCUCAUCUUCCUUGUAAAACCCGGCUAGGCCUUCACCCUGGACAGGAGCAACUGGUUCGGAGUCAGCGGCUCAGCCAUGAGGAAGCCGAGAAGUGAUGUCUGCCUCCCCUCCUCCCUCCCAGAGGAUCUGGAUGUGAAACUAACCCAGAGUGGACGCUGAAGCUCAGCUGCCAAGUAAUCUCCCAUUCCCAGAGAGACUGCACAGCUUCCUGCUCAACGCCAGCUGGGUCUUCUUCCUGGAGAGGAGCAACAGACAUUUUCAUGGAUAUGAAACUGGACACCAA